AUCAAGUUGGCAGAAAUAAUGCAUUAGGCUUAGAACUUAACUAUAUAAAAUAAUUUUAUACUUGAUA
rnacentral:tRNA from 1 species